rnacentral:rRNA from 1 species
UACGUAGGGGGCUAGCGUUGUCCGGAAUCAUUGGGCGUAAAGAGCGUGUAGGCGGUCCGGUAAGUCCGCUGUGAAAGUCGGGGGCUCAACCCUCGAAUGCCGGUGGAUACUGUCGGGCUAGAGUGCGGAAGAGGCGAGUGGAAUUCCUGGUGUAGUGGUGAAAUGCGCAGAUAUCAGGAGGAACACCAAUGGCGAAGGCAGCUCGCUGGGACGUGACUGACGCUGAGACGCGAAAGCGUGGGGAGCAAACAGG